GGCCUCGGCGGUGUUUGAGGGCACGUCGCUCGUGAACAUGUUCGUGCGCGGCUGCUGGGUGAACGGCAUCCGCAGGCUCAUCGUCAGCCGGCGCGGCGACGAAGAGGAGUUCUUCGAGAUCCGCACGGAGUGGUCGGACCGCAGCGUGCUCUACCUGCACCGCAGCCUGGCGGACCUGGGCCGCCUGUGGCAGCGCCUGCGCGACGCCUUUCCCGAGGACCGGUCCGAACUGGCGCAGGGGCCGCUGCGGCAAGACCUAUUCAACGAAUUGCUUGAAAACUGAACAGGCUUUUCCCCUGCAAAACAAAAUCAGACCAGAACUUCUGAAAAAGUUAGUCUCCGUGACCAAUAAUACUAGGCACGUUUGCAUCAGCCUCGGUCACACAAGUGUGGGGGAGACGCCAGUGUCCUUGGGCACCUACUUCCCCAUCCCUGCAAAGCCGACGGAUAGAACCUGUGAUGGGAAGACUUCUGCUCUGCGCUUCUCAUGGGGAGAUAGAAAAGCACCCGAGCCUUCAUGCCUCGAGCUAUG
rnacentral:lncRNA from 1 species